CUACGGGACGCACCAGUGGGGAAUAUUGCACAAUGGGCGCAAGCCUGAUGCAGCCAUGCCGCGUGUAUGAAGAAGGCCUUCGGGUUGUAAAGUACUUUCAGCGGGGAGGAAGGGAGUAAAGUUAAUACCUUUGCUCAUUGACGUUACCCGCAGAAGAAGCACCGGCUAACUCCGUGCCAGCAGCCGCGGUAAUUCGGAGGGUGCAAGCGUUAGUCGGAAUUACUGGGCGUAAAGCGCACGCAGGCGGUUUGUUAAGUCAGAUGUGAAAUCCCCGGGCUCAACCUGGGAACUGCAUCUGACACUGGCAAGCUUGAGUCUCGUAGAGGGGGGUAGAAUUCCAGGUGUAGCGGUGAAAUGCGUAGAGAUCUGGAGGAAUACCGGUGGCGAAGGCGGCCCCCUGGACGAAGACUGACGCUCAGGUGCGAAAGCGUGGGGAGCAAACAGGAUUAGAUACCCCUGUAGUC
rnacentral:rRNA from 1 species